rfam:Triticum aestivum genome assembly, contig: Triticum_aestivum_CS42_TGACv1_scaffold_405438_5BL
CUCAUACUCCCUCCGUUCGGAAUUAUUCGUCUAAGAAAUGAAUGUAUCUAGAUGUAUUUUAGUUGUAGAUACAUUCAUUUUUAUUCAUUUUUUGUGACAAGUAAUUCCGAACGGAGGGAGUAGUAU